AACGCUAGCUACAGGCUUAACACAUGCAAGUCGAGGGGAAACGACAUCGAAAGCUUGCUUUUGAUGGGCGUCGACCGGCGCACGGGUGAGUAACGCGUAUCCAACCUGCCCACCACUUGGGGAUAACCUUGCGAAAGUAAGACUAAUACCCAAUGACGUCUCUAGAAGACAUCUGAAAGGGAUUAAAGAUUUAUCGGUGAUGGAUGGGGAUGCGUCUGAUUAGCUUGUUGGCGGGGUAACGGCCCACCAAGGCUACGAUCAGUAGGGGUUCUGAGAGGAAGGUCCCCCACAUUGGAACUGAGACACGGUCCAAACUCCUACGGGAGGCAGCAGUGAGGAAUAUUGGUCAAUGGACGCAAGUCUGAACCAGCCAAGUAGCGUGCAGGAUGACGGCCCUAUGGGUUGUAAACUGCUUUUAUGCGGGGAUAAAGUGUGGGACGUGUCCCAUAUUGCAGGUACCGCAUGAAUAAGGACCGGCUAAUUCCGUGCCAGCAGCCGCGGUAAUACGGAAGGUCCAGGCGUUAUCCGGAUUUAUUGGGUUUAAAGGGAGCGUAGGCCGUCGUUUAAGCGUGUUGUGAAAUGCCGCGGCUCAACCGUGGCACUGCAGCGCGAACUGGAUGACUUGAGUUCGCGGGAGGUAGGCGGAAUUCGUGGUGUAGCGGUGAAAUGCUUAGAUAUCACGAAGAACUCCGAUUG
rnacentral:rRNA from 1 species